rnacentral:rRNA from 1 species
UGGGGAAUAUUGGACAAUGGGCGCAAGCCUGAUCCAGCAAUGCCGCGUGUGUGAAGAAGGCCUUCGGGUUGUAAAGCACUUUUAUCAGGAGCGAAACGCUGUCGGCUAAUACCCGGCGGAACUGACGGUACCUGAGGAAUAAGCACCGGCUAACUUCGUGCCAGCAGCCGCGGUAAUACGAAGGGUGCAAGCGUUAAUCGGAAUUACUGGGCGUAAAGCGUGCGUAGGCGGUUUCUUAAGUCUGCUGUGAAAUCCCCGGGCUCAACCUGGGAAUGGCAGUGGAUACUGGGAGGCUAGAGUGUGUCAGAGGGUGGUGGAAUUCCCGGUGUAGCGGUGAAAUGCGUAGAGAUCGGGAGGAACACCAGUGGCGAAGGCGGCCACCUGGGACAACACUGACGCUGAGGCACGAAAGCGUGGGGAGCAAACAGGAUUAGAUACCCUGGUAGUCCACGCCCUAAAGCGAUGCGAACUGGAUGUUGGUCUCAACUCGGAGAUCAGUGUCGAAGCUAACGCGUUAAGUUCGCCGCCUGGGGAGUACGGUCGCAAGACU